GUCCAGGGAUGGGAAUCGAACCCACAUUGUUCCGUUUAACCGGCAGAUGUUAUGUCCACUAGGCUACCCUGGA